rnacentral:rRNA from 1 species
AUUGAACGCUGGCGGCAGGCCUAACACAUGCAAGUCGAGCGAGCGGCGGACGGGUGUGUAAUGUAUGGGGACUGCCCGAUCGCGGGGGGUAACUACUGGAAACGGUAGCUAAUACCCCAUACUAUCUCAUUACGCAUAUGGGAUUAGCUAGUAGGUGAGGGAAUGGCUCACCUAGGCGACGAUCCCUAGCUGGUCUGAGAGGAUGAUCAGCCACACUGGGACUGAGACACGGCCCAGACUCCUACGGAGGCAGCAGUGGGGAAUAUUGCACAAUGGUCGCAAGCCUGAUGCAGCCAGGCCGCGUGUAUGAAGAAGGCCUUAGGGUUGUAAAGUACUUUCAGUCGGGAGGCGUUACCGACAGAAGAAGCACCGGCUAACUCCGUGCCAGCAGCCGCGGUAAUAC